rnacentral:rRNA from 1 species
UACGAAGGGGGGCUAGCGUUGCUCGGAAUCACUGGGCGUAAAGCGCACGUAGGCGGACUCUUAAGUCGGUGGUGAAAUCCUGGAGCUCAACUCCAGAACUGCCUUCGAUACUGAGAGUCUCGAGUCCGGGAGAGGUGAGUGGAACUGCGAGUGUAGAGGUGAAAUUCGUAGAUAUUCGCAAGAACACCAGUGGCGAAGGCGGCUCACUGGCCCGGAACUGACGCUGAGGUGCGAAAGCGUGGGGAGCAAACAGG